UGGAAGCAUGGAUUAGAUCACUUAGAAGAAUAGCAGUGCAACUAGCUGAAGAGUGUUGCAUUCAACAAACGCAACCACCACCAUUUCUGGUUGCCGGAGACACAAAGCUUGCUGCUUGCUGUAAAUGUCGGGAAGAGGAAACACCCCGGGGCCCCAGUCAUUUUCAUUCUGGAGAAACGACCGAGUUGGCUCCUGAGACGGGCUCAUGCUUCUAGAGCACUGUGGGCUUCGGGAGCCGGUCAUCACUGCAACAACAGUACUGCAGUUUCAGACACCAAGUUCAAUGCUAUUUUUUUCGUUUUCAUUUCAUAGCCUAAGACAGCAAAACAGUGGUGACUAAGAGAGAGAUGGGUUGAAUGGGAACAAAUACAGCUAUGGAUGUUGAGUGAGCAGAGCGCCCUGCAGGAAGCAUGCAGGUGAAACCAGACACGUGUGCCAGAGAUGACAACCGCGUGGGACUGGCUGCUUGCAGCUGGACAGCAGCAGCCAAUAGCAGUGGGACUGGGAGCGUUCGCUUCCUGUAGACCCGGAGGAGAUGCACACAGGCCUUCGCUAUUACCCAGUUGCACCAUGGAACCUGAACGCAAUCAUACAGAAACCACAAAGGAACGAGAGCCAACUUCAUAGACACCAAGAUUAGAAUUUCAUAUAAUUUUUACAUGCCAAGAAAUAGUAUUCUUUUGAUUUGUUUUCCAGUCAUUUACAAAUGUAAACAUCAAUCUUAGUGCUCAGACUGUAGAAAAACAAGUAACUGACCGUAUUUGGCCCUCAGCCAGUUUAUUGACUCUCCAUUUGUAGAGAGAAACCAUCAGAGUUCAUGAUAUAAUUAUUGUAAAAGAUUUUUCUCCCUUUAGAAUGAAAACAGACAAAAAAGUAGCAACAGGCAUAUAGAUAUGUAUUAAAUUAGCAAAGAUACCCUUUAGUAGUCAGGUUCACAAAUUACGGCAGAUCUUCAAAGAAGAGAUUGAUUUUACUUUUGCUAAGGAAACUGGUUCUGUAUAAGCAUGUCAUUCUGCACAAUAAA